rnacentral:rRNA from 1 species
CUACCAUGCAGUCGAGCGCGCCCUUCGGGGUGAGCGGCGGACGGGUUAGUAACGCGUGGGAAUAUGCCCAAAGGUACGGAAUAGCCUCUGGAAACGGAGAGUAAUACCGUAUGUGCCCUUCGGGGGAAAGAUUUAUCGCCUUUGGAUUAGCCCGCGUUAGAUUAGGUAGUUGGUGGGGUAAUGGCCUACCAAGCCUACGAUCUAUAGCUGGUUUUAGAGGAUGAUCAGCAACACUGGGACUGAGACACGGCCCAGACUCCUACGGGAGGCAGCAGUGGGGAAUCUUGGACAAUGGGGGCAACCCUGAUCCAGCCAUGCCGCGUGAGUGAUGAAGGCCUUAGGGUCGUAAAGCUCUUUCGCCUGUGAAGAUAAUGACGGUAGCAGGUAAAGAAACCCCGGCUAACUCCGUGCCAGCAGCCGCGGUAAUACGGAGGGGGUUAGCGUUGUUCGGAAUUACUGGGCGUAAAGCGCACGUAGGCGGAUCGGAAAGUUGGGGGUGAAAUCCCGGGGCUCAACCCCGGAACUGCCUCCAAAACUAUCGGUCUAGAGUUCGAGAGAGGUGAGUGGAAUUCCGAGUGUAGAGGUGAAAUUCGUAGAUAUUCGGAGGAACACCAGUGGCGAARGCGGCUCACUGGCUCGAUACUGACGCUGAGGUGCGAAAGUGUGGGGAGCAAACAGGAUUAGAUACCC